AAGAUCUUUAAUUUCCUUUAAGAUCUAUAUCAACACAAUGGCUUCUUUCAAGUGUUUGAUCUUUGCUGCAUUCUUCAUUGCUUUAUCAUUUGAUGUUGGCUUAGCUGCUCGUCAUCUUCAGCAAUUGCCAGUGCCAAAUUUUCCAAAGCCUACAUUGCCACCAUUGCCUAGUACUGUACCAACUCUGCCACAGCCCACAUUGCCUACAAACCCAUCUCUGCC
rnacentral:misc_RNA from 1 species